UACGUAGGCAGCGAGCGUUGUUCGGAAUUACUGGGCGUAAAGAGUGUGUAGGCGGUGCUCUAAGUUCGGUGUGAAAUCUCCUGGCUCAACUGGGAGGGUGCGCCGGAAACUGGAGUGCUUGAGCGUGGGAGAGGAAAGCGGAAUUCCUGGUGUAGCGGUGAAAUGCGUAGAUAUCAGAAGGAACACCCAUGGCGAAGGCAGCUCGCUGGCCUACAACUGACGCUGGAGGCGCGAAAGCGUGGGGAGCAAACAGG
rnacentral:rRNA from 1 species